rnacentral:lncRNA from 1 species
GAGGGGCUAAAACACAGAUAAGACGGUGAUUCGUUCACCGCCUUAACAAAGACGGUGAAUCGUCUACCGUCUUAUCUAGGCGUAAACCAACGCCAGGACUUAGCCGUUUUUUCUCCGGUUUUGUGUAUUUGCACUAAAGACGGUGAAUGGUUCACCGUCUUUAGUGCAAACAGCAGCAACUGCUGUUUUAAGCUUGAUUUUAAACAAAAUUUCAACAAGUUUGACGCAAGUUUUUUCACGAUAACAAAUUUUUCAACAAGAAACACAAGAUCACGAGUGGAAUAACAAGAUACAAUCAACAAGAUAAAAAUAUCAAAAAAAACCCCGAGAAAUAUACAAAUAUGCACUAAAUUAAGUAUUAUAUAAUAUUAUACAAAGUCUAAGUUAUCUAAAUCAAAAAUAUACAAUCAGCCUCUCGAUCGUCCUCUCCCUCGACGUCCUCGGCCACGUCCUCGUGCACGGCCACGUCCACGUCUACGGCCACCCUCUACAACGAGAUCAGCAAUAGGUAUGUCAUCAAUUGCCUCGAUAUCGGCCAUCGCAUCGAGAUCCGCAAUCAUAACGCCCUCGCGAUGCUCCGGUAUCGCCUGAGUCUCCUCGAUAGUGGCUGGUCUAGAUGUUGGGCGGGCUUGUGAUGAAGACGCGGCAUGACGUCGAGAAUAGACGAAUGUAAAGUGAUCUCUAGAGACUGGCGGCGGCAAAAGCAAGUCCAAGUCCAAUGGCCUAGUAGGAAAUCUCUCAGGGGCGGCGGGUAUAUCAGCAACAUCACUAGGAGAUGGAGAUCCAGCAGAUGUCGGUGUCUGACGGUGGUGAUGACCCGAUGUCGAUGCAUGUCCAAAAUCUCGACCUCUGAUAUCAGUGGCGACAGGUAUAGUAGGAAUGUACUCCAGUACACUAUCAAGAUCAAUAUCGAUACCCGUCAAUACAUCAAUCAUCGCCUCAUAAGAAGGUCGAUCAUGAACUAGGCUCCUGAUGCUAUACUGUGUCUGUCGUAUAGCGUCCACCUGCAUUAUAGAUAAUAACUCACCUUUGGCAAUCUAUAAUAUACAAAAUAUUAAAAAACUAAUAAAUGGGCUGAGUGAUCGUACCAAAGCUCUCUCGGUCUGGCCACGAGGCUGGUAAGUCAAUGGUGGACGCUGUACUGGACGAGAAAUCCAUCGUCUCGUGAUCUGCCAGUACCACUCCAUAUAAAUCGAGGUCGCCUGUACUGGAUCAUCACCGACAAUCAGAUGCUGGUCAAUAAUAGACUGUAAUCGCUGUCCCCAUCUCUCGAUGUGUGCAGCAUGAAAGUGGCCCCAAUGCUCAUCUGGCCGCCCCUGAGAUGUAAAGCGACGGAUGGUCUCCACAUGAAUAGGUAUAUGCUGCAGGAGACCAAACUGCCGAAGGACUCGAUCGGGCACGUGAAGCUCGACGAUAUGAAAACAAAUCAGCGUGGUCCGCGAUCGCCAUACCUCACUGCCCUGUACACAGAAUGCUGGUAGCACCUCUAAUACAGCAUCUGUGUACGGCCGCCAUGUAAUCUGUGAAAAAGCCAAUAAUAGUCAGCAGAAUGCAUUAAUACGGUUGAAUAUUGAAAUAAUGGUUGCAUUAAUACGUACCUGUGUCUCUCGCUGCUGAUCUAGCUCAUCUCUAUAGAACUCUAUAUCAGUCGUCCUAACGUUGGCCCCAAAACGUAAACCGCCGGCAUUCGUCCACCUGAUAUUUGAAAAGUAUGUUAGUUGCAAAUAUAUAGGAAGAAAUAUAAUAUGUAUCAUAUUUAAUUAUUAUACCGGCAACCCAAAGGGCAAUCAGCCAUGUCGGCAAUAGCUCCAACGCCAGUAGGUCGGCCGACAUGAAGAUGGUCCCAUGCCCAAAUCUAUAAAUAAAUUACAAUAAAUUAGACAUGUAAGCUUAAAUAGGAGAAGUUUUAUAUAACAAUUAUUAUAUAUUACCUGUACUAAUGUCGCGAAACAACAGCAUUCGACCUUGUCCUUUAAUGACGCCGUUCCCAAUGCGCGAUAAAGGUAGGCCAAUGCUGCCGACCCCCAGGCUAAACCACCACAUGCGUCAAAAUCCGCCAAAAGUGGUAGCCACUUAAGAUGAACUCUAUAUCCGGUGGGGUUUGGAAACAGACUACAGCCAAUCUGAUAUAACAUAUAUGCACGGGCUGUGGCUGCAACUAAUCCAGCCGGAGCAUCCAAAUGUAUAUGAUGGAAGUGCUGGUAUAUCCAAUCUAAGCGAAUCUGACCAGCUCGGAUGCCAUCCGGCACAACCCCUAAAAGCUCCUGACAAAUCUCUAUCCACGGAUGCUGUGUAGUCCCCGUGACAGGCGCUCCAUCGACACGAAGACCUGAAAUAACCGCCACAUCCUGAAGUGUAAUCGUCAUCUCACCGUGGCGGAAGUGGAAGGUCUGGGUCUCCCGUCGCCAUCUCUCGACCAGAGCUCCCAAUAGAGACUGAUCGAGCUGCAGACGCCUAAGUCGAGAAAUACCGUAGAAUCCUGACUGUCGUAGCAAAUCUAGCACCGCUGGAUGAUCCAUAUCCCACUGGUUCAAUUUGCGGCCAUGCUCUACGAACUGAACGCCGCGAUAUCCCUACAGUGACAAAAAAAUAGUUAGCACAACAUUUAUAUGUAUUAAUAAUAAACAUAAUUUAUAGAGAAAUAAUUCUUACUCUCACCUCAGUCGUGAUAAAUGAAGACCUAUGUAGAUGCUGCUCUGUCAGGACGGACUCAUCAACCGGUCCCGCCUCCUCUAGAUCUGCCAUCUGCAAUUUUAAAGAAUUUGUAAUUAGUAACAUGCAUCCAAAUAGCGCAUUGAAUAUUGGAAUAUUGAAAGUUUAAUAAAUACUAGUAAGUUAGGUAACAAGUCCUACGUCGACGUCCUUGUUGUGCGCUCUCUGUAUUCUGUGGACAAGUAUUUCUAUAAUGACCGUGCUGCUUACAAAUGCUGCAUUUUGUUCGUCGACCACUGGUUGCGUCCAUUAUAUUACGAAUACGUGUUGAUCGUGGUCGACCUUUCUUUCUUCUAACUGGAGGCGGUACAAUUGGUGGGCCCAUGGGUCGUGGCCAGUAGCGCCUGUCUGGAACUGGAUGGAAAAGCGGUGCGUAUGUCUGGCGAUAACACUCUACAGUAUACCAAUGGGAACAAAGACUAUGAUAAUCUAUUCUUAGUUGUGAAUUACUGCAAACUGCUAAAAUAUGCGAGCAAGGUAUGCCCGUUAGCUUGAAUUCCCCGCAAUUGCAAUCCGCUUCUGUUCCAUUAAUGGUAACAUUGUAAUCAGAGUAUCCUGUUUGAACUUCAAACUCAAUAGUCCCAAAUCGAUAUACAAUGUGUCCCCGUGCCGUCACCAUAUUCAUCGUAAUUCGACUUUGUAUUUUUGGUGCUAACGUGGCCGUCAUACUUUCACCAUUUUCACGACGCUUUACAAAAUAACUAUUCAGUUUGUAAAAAGUUCCCGCGACAAAUGCCGUUACUGGAAGAGCACGGAUACCCUUAAGUACCCCAUUUAAACUCUCGGACAUAUUUGUAGUCAUCAACCCGAAGCGUCGACCUCCAUCAAAUGCCCACGCCCAAUACUCUUUGUAUACUUCGAGCUCAUCGACCCACUUCCACGCAUCCUCAUCUAGCGCGCGUAACUCAUCUUUCAGUUUAUAAUAUUCUACCGACGUUGGAGCACUGCCGAUACUAUAAAAUUUGUCUAAUAAUGAUUCAUUUUUAAACCGCUUAGCCAUAUUUGCUUUCAUGUGUCGAAGACACCACCGGUGUGCAUGCCCCUGUCGAGUAGGAUAUAACUCAGCCACUAUUUCCUUUAAGCCACUAAAUCUAUCAGAUAUAAAACAAACCGGUCGAUUGCGUAUAACAUAAUGGCCCAAGUUAUGUAAAAACCAACGCCAAGUUCCACCAUUUUCGCCUUCGCAAAUUGCAAAAGCUAAGGGAAAAAUGCUAUCAUUCGCAUCGACAGCCGUCGCUAUCAAUGCAUGGCCUUCGUAUUUGCCAUACAAGUGAGUCGCAUCAAUGCUCACCACCGGCCGACAAUGUGCAAAUCCAUGAAUAGAAGGAGCAAAUGACCAAAAAAGACGGCCAAACUGACAUAUUCCCUCUGAUGGCCAUCUAUGAUCAAGCCGCCAAUAAGUUCCAUGAUUAGUACUCUGCAGCAUAGUAAGAUACCGAGGCACGUCUGUGUAUGACUGCUCCCAGCUCCCAUAAAUAAUUUGUAAUGCUUUGCUCCUUGCCAGCCAUGCCUUCCAAUAAUUUAUUUGAACAUGCAAAGUGGAUCGCACCGUUUCCUGCACUUCUUUUGGCGUCAUAUUUAGUCUUGCCUUCAUUAACGGGAGAAUUAGUUGACAUAUGAGAUUUGAAGUACAAUUACGAUGCGCCGCAUUUAGCAUUGGAAUAACACAAGUAUGUUGACCCGCGUAUGUCUUAACUCUGAAAUAUGUUGCAUCCUUAGGAACCGAAGCGUGUAACCUCCAAGGACAUCCCUCAACUGUGCAUUUCACUGUAUAAGUUGUUUUGGUAGAUUUCACAACUUUCAUCUGAACAUUGUGAGUAAUGUGCCAUCGAUCAAGAGCGUCCACUAAAGAUGCCUUAUCAUUAAAGACUUCACGGAGCCAAGUCCCGUCAAUGCUAGGUAGAUCGGAAUUGUUACGUCUAACAUCGAACUCACUCGAAUUCACAACAUACUGUUGUAUCCAAUUAUUAUCCAUAGGAAAUUGCUCCGGAUGGUCAAUAAAAUCAAGUUCCUCGUCAGGAUUGUCUACAUAAUCGUUGUUUACAUGCGGGUCGUCAUUCAAACUGUAAAUGGCAUUCGCAAGGCAAUUUAAUCCACCAUCGUGAUCAUCUUCAAUGUCAACGGCUAGAUCAUUCCAAUCGUCGUCCUCAUCCUGAUUACCGUCAUUAUCAAUGGGUGCAUCCUCCUGAUGACCAUCAUUAUGAAUGAGUUCAUCGUCCUGAUUACCGUCAUUAUCAUCUCCUUCAUCGACAAUAUUAUCAAGAACUUCAUUCCAAUUUGUAUAGGGUGUAGAUAGCCUGCAAUACGUCCCGAAUGUUUACUAUAUUAGGUAAAAUUUCAUUUACUAUUAAUUAAAUAAUCCAAAUUUUCUUUACCCCCAAUCGUAAUUUUCAUUAGGUGUAUGAAAUAUCCUGGGUUCGUCACGUGACAUCGAGGGUUGCGCACGUGACGUCGACGGUUGCGCACGUGACGUCGAGGGUUCGGCACGUGACGUCCAGGGUUGCACACGUGACGUCGACGGUUGCGCACGUGACGUCGACGGUUCGGCACGUGACGUCGAGGGUUGCGCACGUGAAGUCGAGGGUUGCGCACGUGGAGACUGACUCUGUCUGCAGUAUUCAUAAUUAUAAUGUAUGAAAGAAUUUCAUAAUUUAAAAAAUAUUCACCGCAAUCUUGAGGUAUAUUACUGACCUUGUCAUUCUUACGCCUUGUUCAUUAUCAACUUCACGGUCACCAAUUGGAUUCUCCGAAAAUCCCACAUCGAUAUCAUUAUGUAGCAGGCUUGUGUAAUAACCUUGCGAUUGAUAUUGUGUCUCUGAAGGACAUAAAUCUUUCUCUAUGUAUAGCGACACACAUCCAUAAUGUUCAAACAAUCCAAUUAAUCCCUCCAAUGAUUCAUCAUCUACUAUAUCAUGAGCAAUAUAUUCAUUUGCUCCCGUAGGGCAUUGAAUUGUGUAUUUAAGACAACAUUCUUCUCUAUUACAAUUUACUAAACGAUACAUUCUCCUCUCAAAAUUCGCAUAGGUCGUAUCUGAACGAAUCGCAAUCAAUUUCUUUCGAGCACCGAAAUAUCGAGGACCAUUCCCAUCCAUAUCUAACUGUCCAUCCCAAUGAACACUAAGAGACAUCCGACGACUAGCCAUUUGAACUACACAGAAAAAUAAAUCAACAACAUUCUCCAUGUUCUCAUCAGCGAAAACUAAACCUAAGUGAAAUGAUAACUAAAUGAUAGAAAAUUUACAACAAGAAAAUAAAGGGAGUGUUACUAGGUUAAAACUUGGUAAACAGUGAGGUCCUCUCUAUGGUUACCUCUUAAACAGUGAGGUCCGUUCUUUCAAGAACCGGAGCAUAACCUUUUUGCUUCUUAUGAUACUAUUUCCUCAGCUUAAUGGAUAACCAUUUGCUACCAAGGUCUAAACCUUAAACACUAAACCUAGUUUAAACUAGGUUUAAGGGUUUAGGGUUUAGUUUAAACUAGUAUAAACUAGGUUUAAGGGUUUAGGGUUUACUUUAAACUUGUUUAAACUAGUUUAAACUAGGUUUGGGGUUACUUUAAACUAGGUUUAGGGUUUAAGGUUUAGGGUUUAGUUUACACUAGUUUAAACUAGGUUUAGGGUUUAGUUUAAACUAG